rnacentral:misc_RNA from 1 species
GAUGAAGAACGUAGCGAAAUGCGAUAAGUAGUGUGAAUUGCAGAAUUCAGUGAAUCAUCGAAUCUUUGAACGCACAUUGCGCCCUUUGGUAUUCCUUAGGGCAUGCCUGUUCGAGCGUCAUUUAAACCUUCAAGCUAAGCUUGGUGUUGGGUGACUGUCCGCUUCACGGCGGACUCGCCUCAAAAUUAUUGGCGGCCGGUACAUUGGCUUCGAGCGCAGCAGAAACGCGAACUCGGGCCCGUCGUAUUGGCUCCCAGAAGCUAUCUUCACAAUUUUGACUUCGGAUCAGGUAGGGAUACCCGCUGAACUUAAGCAUAUCAAUAAGCGGAGGA